rnacentral:rRNA from 1 species
AUACGUAGGGAGCGAGCGUUGUCCGGAAUUACUGGGUGUAAAGGGAGCGUAGGCGGGAGUGCAAGUCAGAUGUGAAAUACAUGGGCUCAACCCAUGGGCUGCAUUUGAAACUGCAUUUCUUGAGUGAAGUAGAGGUAAGCGGAAUUCCUGGUGUAGCGGUGAAAUGCGUAGAUAUCAGGAGGAACACCGGUGGCGAAGGCGGCUUACUGGGCUUUUACUGACGCUGAGGCUCGAAAGCGUGGGGAGCAAACAGGAUUAGAUACCCUGGUAGUCCACGCUGUAAACGAUGAUUACUAGGUGUGGGGGGACUGGCCCCUUCCGUGCCGCAGUUAACACAAUAAGUAAUCCACCUGGGGAGUACGGCCGCAAGGUUGAAACUCAAAUGAAUUGACGGGG